GCUUAGACGAAUGAAUGCCUCCACCUAAAUCAAGUCCCAGCCCUGCAAAAAUAAGCCAUAAAUCAUGUCGUUAUGCAAUUCCUUUCCCGUAUGCCUAUUCUUGCUUGACCAGACACUUCGAAAGGGAAAAGGCAUAAAGGAAUUUUUCAGUCAAAUGAUGAUGGCAACAAUAAUAGCAUUACAAAAGUAUUAAAUGGGACCAUAUAAAGUAGUUAGCAAACUGAGAAUUGAACCCAGAAACCAAAUAAGCACCCAAAAGAACACAAUAUCUCAAUAACUAGCGAUAAAACUUCUCAUUAAUGUAGGCAACAAAUUCUAAGAGAUUCGUCAUCACCAAAUAAAAACCACUUCCACAAAAAAAAAACAUAAAGAAAAAAAAAGUAGCGAUUUUCAUUGAGCUGAAGCAGAUGGCUCCAUAAUGGGAUUACAACAAAAAAGCUCAGAAGUCAUUAAUUAAACUUGUACAAGGAUUUAGCACAAUUUAAGCCUUGAUAUAUAACAAGACCCUUCCUUGUUCCUUUGAAUGCAUAAAAGUCACGACAUU